AACGCUAGCUACAGGCUUAACACAUGCAAGUCGAGGGGAAACGACAUCGAAAGCUUGCUUUUGAUGGGCGUCGACCGGCGCACGGGUGAGUAACGCGUAUCCAACCUGCCCAUCACUUGGGGAUAACCUUGCGAAAGUAAGACUAAUACCCAAUGAUAUCUCUAGAAGACAUCUGAAGGAGAUUAAAGAUUUAUCGGUGAUGGAUGGGGAUGCGUCUGAUUAGCUUGUUGGCGGGGUAACGGCCCACCAGGGCGACGAUCAGUAGGGGUUCUGAGAGGAAGGUCCCCCACAUUGGAACUGAGACACGGUCCAAACUCCUACGGGAGGCAGCAGUGAGGAAUAUUGGUCAAUGGGCGAGAGCCUGAACCAGCCAAGUAGCGUGCAGGAUGACGGCCCUAUGGGUUGUAAACUGCUUUUAUAAGGGAAUAAAGUGAGUCUCGUGAGGCUUUUUGCAUGUACCUUAUGAAUAAGGACCGGCUAAUUCCGUGCCAGCAGCCGCGGUAAUACGGAAGGUCCGGGCGUUAUCCGGAUUUAUUGGGUUUAAAGGGAGCGUAGGCCGGAGAUUAAGCGUGUUGUGAAAUGUAGAUGCUCAACAUCUGCACUGCAGCGCGAACUGGUUUCCUUGAGUACGCACAAAGUGGGCGGAAUUCGUGGUGUAGCGGUGAAAUGCUUAGAUAUCACGAAGAACUCCGAUUG
rnacentral:rRNA from 1 species